UACGUAGGGGGCAAGCGUUGUCCGGAAUCAUUGGGCGUAAAGCGCGUGUAGGCGGUUACGUAAGUCUGCUGUGAAAGUCGGAGGCUCAACCUUCGAAAGCCGGUGGAUACUGCGUGACUAGAGUACGGAAGAGGAGAGUGGAAUUCCUGGUGUAGCGGUGAAAUGCGCAGAUAUCAGGAGGAACACCGGUGGCGAAGGCGGAUCUCUGGGCCAUUACUGACGCUGAGGAGCGAAAGCGUGGGGAGCGAGCAGG
rnacentral:rRNA from 1 species